GGGUUGCGGACAGUGUCUGGUGGGUAGUUUGACUGGGGCGGUCUCCUCCUAAAGAGUAACGGAGGAGCACGAAGGUUGGCUAAUCCUGGUCGGACAUCAGGAGGUUAGUGCAAUGGCAUAAGCCAGCUUGACUGCGAGCGUGACGGCGCGAGCAGGUGCGAAAGCAGGUCAUAGUGAUCCGGUGGUUCUGAAUGGAAGGGCCAUCGCUCAACGGAUAAAAGGUACUCCGGGGAUAACAGGCUGAUACCGCCCAAGAGUUCAUAUCGACGGCGGUGUUUGGCACCUCGAUGUCGGCUCAUCACAUCCUGGGGCUGAAGUAGGUCCCAAGGGUAUGGCUGUUCGCCAUUUAAAGUGGUACGCGAGCUGGGUUUAGAACGUCGUGAGACAGUUCGGUCCCUAUCUGCCGUGGGCGCUGGAGAACUGAGGGGGGCUGCUCCUAGUACGAGAGGACCGGAGUGGACGCAUCACUGGUGUUCGGGUUGUCAUGCCAAUGGCACU
rnacentral:rRNA from 1 species